GGGUCCGUAGCUCAACUGGAUAGAGCAUCGGCCUUCGAAGCCGAGGGUUGCAGGUUCGAGUCCUGCCGGGCCCGCCA
rnacentral:tRNA from 1 species